UACGUAGGGGGCGAGCGUUGUCCGGAUUUAUUGGGCGUAAAGAGCGUGUAGGCGGUCAGGUAGGUCCGUUGUGAAAACUCGAGGCUCAACCUCGAGACGCCGAUGGAAACCAUCUGACUAGAGUCCGGAAGAGGAGAGUGGAAUUCCUGGUGUAGCGGUGAAAUGCGCAGAUAUCAGGAAGAACACCCGUGGCGAAGGCGGCUCUCUAGUACGGUACUGACGCUGAGACGCGAAAGCGUGGGGAGCGAACAGG
rnacentral:rRNA from 1 species